rnacentral:rRNA from 1 species
ACAUCCAGAGAAUUUAGCAGAGAUGCUUUAGUGCCUUCGGGAACUCUGAGACAGGUGCUGCAUGGCUGUCGUCAGCUCGUGUUGUGAAAUGUUGGGUUAAGUCCCGCAACGAGCGCAACCCUUAUCCUUUGUUGCCAGCACGUAAUGGUGGGAACUCAAAGGAGACUGCCGGUGAUAAACCGGAGGAGGGUGGGGAUGACGUCAAGUCAUCAUGGCCCUUACGAGUAGGGCUACACACGUGCUACAAUGGCGCAUACAAAGAGAAGCGACCUCGCGAGAGCAAGCGGACCUCAUAAAGUGCGUCGUAGUUCGGAUUGGAGUCUGCAACUCGACUCCAUGAAGUCGGAAUCGCUAGUAAUCGUAAAUCAGAAUGUUACGGUGAAUACGUUCCCGGGCCUUGUACACACCGCCCGUCACACCAUGGGAGUGGGUUGCAAAAGAAGUAGAUAGCUUAACCUUCGGGAGGGCGUUUACCACUUUGUGAUUCAUGACUGGGGUGAAGUCGUAACAAGGUAAGCGUAGUGCU